CCUACGGGUGGCAGCAGUGGGGAAUAUUGGACAAUGGGGGCAACCCUGAUCCAGCCAUGCCGCGUGUGUGGAGAAGGCCCUCGGGUUGUAAAGCACUUUCAGUGAGGAAGAACGCCUGGUGGUUAAUACCCAUCAGGAAAGACAUCACUCACAGAAGAAGCACCGGCUAACUCCGUGCCAGCAGCCGCGGUAAUACGGAGGGUGCGAGCGUUAAUCGGAAUUACUGGGCGUAAAGCGCGCGUAGGUGGCUUGAUAAGCCGGUUGUGAAAGCCCCGGGCUCAACCUGGGAACGGCAUCCGGAACUGUCAAGCUAGAGUGCAGGAGAGGAAGGUAGAAUUCCCGGUGUAGCGGUGAAAUGCGUAGAGAUCGGGAGGAAUACCAGUGGCGAAGGCGGCCUUCUGGACUGACACUGACACUGAGGUGCGAAAGCGUGGGUAGCAAACAGGAUUAGAUACCCUGGUAGUC
rnacentral:rRNA from 1 species